rnacentral:rRNA from 1 species
CCAGACUCCUACGGGAGGCAGCAGUGGGGAAUAUUGGGCAAUGGGCGCAAGCCUGACCCAGCAACGCCGCGUGAAGGAAGAAGGCUUUCGGGUUGUAAACUUCUUUUCUCAGGGACGAAGAAAGUGACGGUACCUGAGGAAUAAGCCACGGCUAACUACGUGCCAGCAGCCGCGGUAAUACGUAGGUGGCAAGCGUUAUCCGGAUUUAUUGGGUGUAAAGGGCGUGUAGGCGGGAGCGCAAGUCAGAUGUGAAAACUCAGGGCUCAACCCGUGAACUGCAUUUGAAACUGUUUCCCUUGAGUGUCGGAGAGGUAAUCGGAAUUCCUUGUGUAGCGGUGAAAUGCGUAGAUAUAAGGAAGAACACCAGUGGCGAAGGCGGAUUACUGGACGAUAACUGACGGUGAGGCGCGAAAGCGUGGGGAGCAAACAGGAUUAGAUACCCGAGUAUA